UGCGUAGGCGGUUUUCUAAGUUUGGUGUGAAAUCUCCCGGCUUAACUGGGAGGGUGCGCCGAAGACUGGAAGGCUAGAGUAUGGGAGAGGUAAGCGGAAUUCCUGGUGUAGCGGUGAAAUGCGUAGAUAUCAGGAGGAACACCUGCGGUGUAGACGGCUUACUGGACCAUAACUGACGCUGAGGCACGAAAGCGUGGGUAGCAAACA
rnacentral:rRNA from 1 species